GAAGUAAUACAUCGGAACGUACCCCGUAGUGGGGGAUAACCCGGCGAAAGCCGGACUAAUACCGCAUAUGCUCUACGGAGGAAAGUGGGGGACCUGCAAGGGCCUCACGCUAUGGGAGCGGCCGAUGUCCGAUUAGCUUGUUGGCGGGGUAAAGGCCCACCAAGGCGACGAUCGGUAGCUGGUCUGAGAGGAUGAUCAGCCACACUGGGACUGAGACACGGCCCAG
rnacentral:rRNA from 1 species